rnacentral:rRNA from 1 species
UACGUAGGGUGCAAGCGUUAAUCGGAAUUACUGGGCGUAAAGCGUGCGCAGGCGGUUUUGUAAGUCAGAUGUGAAAUCCCCGGGCUUAACCUGGGAACUGCGUUUGAAACUACAAGGCUAGAGUGUGGCAGAGGGGGGUGGAAUUCCACGUGUAGCAGUGAAAUGCGUAGAUAUCGAGAGGAACACCUGCGGCGAAGGCGGGUAGCUGGGCCGACACUGACGCUCAUGCACGAAAGCGUGGGGAGCAAACAGG